GGAUGUGAAGGCGAUCCGGCUGCGACAUCUAUCACCCCAUUGAUCGCCAGGGUUAGAUUCGGCUGAUCUGGCUGGCUAGGCGGGUGUCCCCUUCCUCCCUCACUGCUCCAUGUGCGUCCCUCCCUAAGCUGCUGCGUGCUUGGUCCUAGAGGACGGCCUUCCCCAAAUAGAGACAGACGGGUCUUCCAUAGAGGGUAUACCAGUAGCUGCACUCCCCUGCUAGAACCUCCAAACAAGCUCUCAAAGAAUCUGAAGCUUGGGAGUUGGGGCGGUAGCGCAGCUGGUAAAGCACAAGGACCGGUGUAACCAGUUUGAGCCCCUGGCUCACCACU
rnacentral:snRNA from 1 species